GCCAGCGGCUAUAGCAUGUUGAAUACACCAGUUCCCUGAGGAUCACUGGAGUUAAGCAACGGUGAGCAUGGUUGAUAUUUGGCUAACUGUCUGUGGUGCUUUCU
rnacentral:rRNA from 1 species